CCUACGGGUGGCAGCAGUAGGGAAUAUUGCUCAAUGGGGGAAACCCUGAAGCAGCAACGCCGCGUGGAGGAUGAAGGUUUUACGAUUGUAAACUCCUUUUUUUAGAGAAGAUUAUGACGGUAUCUAACGAAUAAUCACCGGCUAACUCCGGUCCAGCAGCCGCGGUAAUACGGAGGGUGCCAGCGUUACUCGGAAUCACUGGGCGUAAAGCGUGCGUAGGCGGGGUAAUAAGUCAGAUGUGAAAUCCUGUAGCUUAACUACAGAACUGCAAUUGAAACUGUUAAUUUGGAGUGUGAGAGAGGUAGGGCGAAUUCUUGGGGUAGGGGGAGAAUCGGUAGAGAUCAAGAGGAAUACUCAGUGGGAAGGGGAGCUGAUGGAACAUUACUGACGAUGAUGCACGAAAGCGUGGGGAGCAAAAAGGAAUAGAAACCCCAGUAGGC
rnacentral:rRNA from 1 species